UACGUAGGGGGCAAGCGUUAUCCGGAUUUACUGGGUGUAAAGGGAGCGUAGACGGCAUGGCAAGCCAGAUGUGAAAUACCGGGGCUCAACCCCGGGGCUGCAUUGGAAACUGGCAGGCUGGAGUGCCGGAGAGGCAGGCGGAAUUCCUAGUGUAGCGGUGAAAUGCAUAGAUAUCACGCAGAACCCCGAUUGCGAAGGCAGCAUGCCGGCUUCCGACUGACGCUGAAGCACGAAAGCGUGGGGAUCGAACAGG
rnacentral:rRNA from 1 species